rnacentral:piRNA from 1 species
UAAAGUCGUGAUGACAAAUGA